rnacentral:rRNA from 1 species
UACAGAGGUCUCAAGCGUUGUUCGGAUUUAUUGGGCGUAAAGGGCGCGUAGGCGGCGGGGUAAGUCGGGUGUGAAAUCUCAGGGCUCAACCCUGAAACUGCACUUGAUACUGCUCUGCUUGAGGACUGGAGAGGAGACUGGAAUUCACGGUGUAGCAGUGAAAUGCGUAGAUAUCGUGAGGAAGACCAGUGGCGAGGGCGGGUCUCUGGACAGUUCCUGACGCUGAGGCGCGAAGGCCAGGGGAGCAAACGGG